UAAAGAGAGAUCAGAAAUACAAGAGGCAGAGGAAGCAAGGUUGAAGAGGAUUAGGGAAUACAACAUUCAGCAUGGACAUAGAUAUUGGAAAUGAAAUGGAUUGUUUCAAUUUCUAAGCAUCAUUUUAAUUUUUACUUUUUAAUUGCAAUCCUGCAAAACUCCAUUUGUUGAUAGUCCCCACAGUGAGUUAGCUAUAUCCACAUGAUCACAUUUACUAAUAUCAAAUGAAAAGGACUCAAUCUCUCCAUCAUCUCUCCUCAUAACUGGCAACCAUUUGGAGCUAAGGAAUAUGAGAAUGAUAAUUAUUAUUAGUAAUUAUACCAUAAUUCAAUGUAAUACUGUAUAGUGUGGAUCUACUUUAGUGAGGGAUUUUACUUUGGCUCUGAAAUCACU